rnacentral:rRNA from 1 species
AUACGUAGGUGGCGAGCGUUAUCCGGAAUUACUGGGUGUAAAGGGUGUGUAGGCGGGGAUGCAAGUCAGAUGUGAAAUCCAUGGGCUCAACCUAUGGUGUGCAUUUGAAACUGCGUUUCUUGAGUGUGGGAGAGGUAAGCGGAAUUCCUAGUGUAGCGGUGAAAUGCGUAGAUAUUCGGAGGAACACCAGUGGCGAAGGCGGCUUACUGGUCCAUUACUGACGCUGAGGUGCGAAAGCGUGGGGAGC